rnacentral:rRNA from 1 species
CAGUCGCCGCGGGAAUACGUAGGUCCCGGGCGUUGUCCGGAUUUAUUGGGCGUAAAGCGAGCGCAGGCGGUUAGAUAAGUCUGAAGUUAAAGGCUGUGGCUUAACCAUAGUACGCUUUGGAAACUGUUUAACUUGAGUGCAAGAGGGGAGAGUGGAAUUCCAUGUGUAGCGGUGAAAUGCGUAGAUAUAUGGAGGAACACCGGUGGCGAAAGCGGCUCUCUGGCUUGUAACUGACGCUGAGGCUCGAAAGCGUGGGGCGCAAACAGGAUUAGAUACCCGUGUAGUCCCUGUCUCUUAUACA